GAGAGGACAGGUUAAUCAACAUAGUGAUGGCAGAGAGGACAGGUUAAUCAACAUAGUGAUGGUAGGUAGUGGAGAAGGACAGGUUAAUCAACAUAGUGAUGGUAGGUAGUGGAGAAGGACAGGUUAUUCAACAUAGUGAUGGUAGGUAGUGGAGAAGGACAGGUUAAUCAACAUAGUGAUGGUAGAUAGGAGAGAGGACAGGUUAAUCAACAUAGUGAUGGUAGGUAGUGGAGAAGGACAGGUUAAUCAACAUAGUGAUGGUAGGUAGCAGAGAGGACAGGUUAAUCAACAUAGUGAUGGUAGGUAGGACAGGUUAAUCAACAUAGUGAUGGUAGGUAGUGGAGAAGGACAGGUUGAUCAACAUAGUUGUGGUAGGUAGCAGACAGGACAGGUUAAUCAACAUAGUGAUGGUAGGUAGUGGAGAAGGACAGGUUAAUCAACAUAGUGAUGGUAGGUAGCAGAGAGGACAGGUUAAUCAACAUAGUGAUGGUAGGUAGUGGAGAAGGACAGGUUAUUCAACAUAGUGAUGGCAGAGAGGACAGGUUGAUCAACAUAGUGAUGGUAGGUAGCAGAGAGGACAGGUUAAUCAACAUAGUGAUGGUAGGUAGUGGAGAAGGACAGGUUAAUCAACAUAGUGAUGGUAGGUAGUGGAGAAGGACAGGUUAAUCAACAUAGUGAUGGUAGGUAGGAGAGAGGACAGGUUAAUCAACAGUGAUGGUAGAUAGGAGAGAGGACAGGUUAAUCAACAUAGUGAUGGUAGGUAGUGGAGAA